ACUGGGAUUAGAUACCCCACUAUGCUUAGCCCUAAACUUAAGUAUUUUCAUAACAAAAUUACUCGCCAGAGAACUACAAGCCAGAGCUUAAAACUCAAAGGACUUGGCGGUGCUUUAUACCCACCUAGAGGAGCCUGUUCUAUAAUCGAUAAACCCCGAUAAACCUUACCACUCUUUGCCAACUCAGCCUAUAUACCGCCAUCUUCAGCGAACCCUAAAAAGGAGCAAAAGUAAGCUCAACUAUCCCCAUAAAAACGUUAGGUCAAGGUGUAGCCUAUAGAGUGGAAAGUAAUGGGCUACAUUUUCUUCUUCAGAAUAUACGGAAGCCCUCAUGAAAUUCUAAGGGCCAAAGGAGGAUUU
rnacentral:rRNA from 1 species